rnacentral:rRNA from 1 species
GACGAACGCUGGCGGCGUGCUUAACACAUGCAAGUCGAACGGGAAGGCCCCUUUGGGGGUCCUCGAGUGGCGAACGGGUGAGUAACACGUGAGUAACCUGCCCUUGACUUCGGUAUAACUUCAGGAAACUGGGGCUAAUACCGGAUAGGAAUCCUUGCUGCAUGGGGGGGGUUGGAAAGCUUCGGCGGUUUUGGAUGGACUCGCGGCUUAUCAGCUUGUUGGUGGGGUAGUGGCUUACCAAGGCUUUGACGGGGAGCCGGCCUGAGAGGGCGACCGGCCACAUUGGGACUGAGAUACGGCCCAGACUCCUACGGGAGGCAGCAGUGGGGAAUAUUGCACAAGGGGCGGAAGCCUGAUGCAGCAACGCCGCGGGCGGGAUGACGGCCUUCGGGUUGGAAACCGCUUUCAGCAGGGGCGAAGCUUGUGGUGACGGUACCUGCAGAAGAAGCACCGGCUAACUACGUG